GCCAGCAUGGUGUAGUGGUUUGAGCAUUGGGCUACAACUCCGGAGAUUGGGGUUCGAUUCCCUGCUUGCC